UACGUAGGGUGCGAGCGUUGUCCGGAAUUAUUGGGCGUAAAGAGCUUGUAGGUGGUUUGUCGCGUCUGCUGUGAAAAUCCGAGGCUCAACCUCGGACUUGCAGUGGGUACGGGCAGACUAGAGUGUGGUAGGGGAGACUGGAAUUCCUGGUGUAGCGGUGGAAUGCGCAGAUAUCAGGAGGAACACCGAUGGCGAAAGGCAGGUCUCU
rnacentral:rRNA from 1 species